GACGACGCUGGCGGCGUGGAUUAGGCAUGCAAGUCGAACGGUAGGAUACCUUCGGGUAUCUGAGAGUGGCGAACGGGUGAGUAACACGUAGGUGAUCUACCCUCAAGAUUGGGACAACCCAGGGAAACUUGGGCUAAUACCGGAUGAAAGCAGCAGUGAUGUUGUUUGAAAGGUGGCGUAAGCUGCCGUUUGGGGAUGAGCCUGCGCUCUAUUAGUUAGUUGGCGGGGUAAAGGCCCACCAAGGCGAUGAUAGGUAGGCGGCCUUAACGGGUGGUCGCCCACACUGGGAUUGAGAUACGGCCCAGACUCCUACGGGAGGCAGCAGUCGAGAAUAGUCUACAAUGGUCGGAAGACUGAUAGUGCGACGCCGCGUGAACGAUGAAUCCCUUCGGGGUGUAAAGUUCUUUUAUAUGUGAGCAGUGCUUCUUAUAUUAACAGUAUGGGGAGAGAGAUAUUAGCAUAUGAAUAAGCAACGGCUAACUCCGUG
rnacentral:rRNA from 1 species